rnacentral:rRNA from 1 species
AUACGGAGGGUGCGAGCGUUAAUCGGAAUUACUGGGCGUAAAGGGUGCGUAGGCGGCUUGAUAAGUCGGAUGUGAAAGCCCCGGGCUUAACCUGGGAAUUGCAUUCGAUACUGUCAGGCUAGAGUAUGUCAGAGGUUGGCGGAAUUCUUAAUGUAGCGGUGAAAUGCGUAGAUAUCAGGAGGAACACCAGUGGCGAAGGCGGCUAACUGGGGCAAUACUGACGCUGAGGCACGAAAGCGUGGGGAGCAAACAGGAUUAGAAACCCUAGUAGUCC